GAGCUGGCUCUGAUUUGAUUUUUUGAUUUCAAAGAGUGGCGAACGGGUGAGUAACACGUGGGUAACCUACCUCUUAGCAGGGGAUAACAUUUGGAAACAAGUGCUAAUACCGUAUAAUACCAACAACCGCAUGGUGGUUGGUUGAAAGAUGGUUCUGCUAUCACUAAGAGAUGGACCCGCGGUGCAUUAGCUAGUUGGUAAGGUAAUGGCUUACCAAGGCAAUGAUGCAUAGCCGAGUUGAGAGACUGAUCGGCCACAAUGGGACUGAGACACGGCCCAUACUCCUACGGGAGGCAGCAGUAGGGAAUCUUCCACAAUGGGCGCAAGCCUGAUGGAGCAACGCCGCGUGUGUGAUGAAGGGUUUCGGCUCGUAAAACACUGUUAUAAGAGAAGAACGGCACUGAGAGUAACUGUUCAGUGUGUGACGGUAUCUUACCAGAAAGGAACGGCUAAAUACGUGCCAGCAGCCGCGGUAAUACGUAUGUGCCAAGCGUUAUCCGGAUUUAUUGGGCGUAAAGCGAGCGCAGACGGUUAUUUAAGUCUGAAGUGAAAGCCCUCAGCUCAACUGAGGAAUUGCUUUGGAAACUGGAUGACUUGAGUGCAGUAGAGGAAAGUGGAACUCCAUGUGUAGCGGUGAAAUGCGUAGAUAUAUGGAAGAACACCAGUGGCGAAGGCGGCUUUCUGGACUGUAACUGACGGUGAGGCUCGAAAGUGUGGGUAGCAAACAGGAUUAGAUACCCUGGUAGUCCACACCGUAAACGAUGAGUGCUAGAUGUUCGAGGGUUUCCGCCCUUGAGUGUCGCAGCUAACGCA
rnacentral:rRNA from 1 species